rnacentral:rRNA from 1 species
CAAUAGCGUAUACUAAAGUUGUUGCGAUUAAAAAGCUCGUAGUUGGAUCUCAGGCAUGGGCGCACGGUCCGCCUCGCGGCGGUCACUGUGUGUUUUGUUUCCCAUCCUACGCUUCCCGGUUAUCAGCCCAUGGUGCUCUUCACUGAGCGUUUUGGGUGGCCGGAACGUUUACUUUGAAGAAAUUAGAGUGUUCAGAGCAGGCACGUCGCCUGAAUAAUGGUGCAUGGAAUAAUGGAAUAGGACCUCGGUUCUAUUUUGCUGGUUUUCGGAACACGAGGUAAUGAUUAAGAGGGACAGACGGGGGCAUCCGUAUUGCGGUGUUAGAGGUGAAAUUCUUGGAUCAUCGCAAGACGAACAACUGCGAAAGCAUUUGCCAAGCAUGUUUUCAUUAG